CCAAACCAUGUACAAUCAAUUGAAUUUACCACAGGUGGAAUCCAAUCAAAUUGUAGAAACAUCUCAAGGAUGACCAAUGGAAACAGGAUGCACCUGAACUCAAUUUCGAGGGGCUGAUACUUAUGUGAAUAAGUUUCCCGUGUGUAUCAAGAACGAUCCACCACCCAAAGGACAUCCAGCCAACUUGACACAACUGUAGGAAGCAUUGGAGUCAACAUGAGCCAGCAUCCCUGUGGAACGCUUUCAACACCUUGAGUUCAUGACCCGACAAAUUGAAUCUGUUCUGAGGCAAAGGGGGGGUGCAACUCAGUAUUAGAUGCGAGGAGGAGAGAGAACCGGAGAAAGAGGAGGAGAAACAGCCCACAGGAGAAGAAAGGAAAGAAGAGGAAACAGGAACCCGUUCUGGCUAAGAAGAAGACUGCACUGAAAUCCCAGGAGUGUUUCAUGGCUCAGGAGAAGAAGGUUGAUGAGGGCGAGAAAAAGACCAAGAACAAUAGAUAGUCUUACCUAAGGAUGGAGGGGAUUGAAGAGACACCUGCUGUCCUAAAAAGGAACUGCAGUUAAAAGGUGCCUUAAUUCAACCACAUUGGUGUUAGAAGUGGGAAUUAAAUCUCUGUUUGUAUUCAGAAGAAGACGAUCACAGACGUCCUGGCCAUGACGGAACCCAAACCGGUCUCUCUAGGCGACCUGCAGAACCUGGUUCUAAAGCAUGGGGUGGCCAGGUAGCCUAGUGGUUAGAGCUUUGGACUAGUAACCAGAAAGUUGCAAGUUCAAAUCCCUGAGCUGACAAAGUACAAAUCUGUCAUUCUACCCCUGAACAGGCAGUUCACCCACUGUUCCUAGGCUGUCAUUGAAAAUAAGAAUUUGUUCUUUGUUCUUAACUGACUUGCCUAGUUAAAUAAAGGUAAAGAAAAGGAUGAGCUGGAGUAGUUUAAACUGCAGGGUGAGUCACCUGACCUCUGUAUUCUUUUACCAGCAUGUCUAAGGGCUGUCAGCCUUUCUGUCAGUCUCUCUAUUUCUUUCUCUCUCUCUCUCUUCUAUCUCUCCCUCUGUACCCCUUCUCUCCCUCUCACUCCCCCUCUCUCUCUUUCUCUCUCUCUCCCGCUCUUACUCACUCACUUUCCCUGAAUAGCGUAAUGUGACUUUUUUCUUUGGUUCCUGCUUCCUGACGAGUAAUGACCUCUGUUGGGGAAUAAUCAGAAUUGGUUGGUAACAUAGUUGGUAAAUAGAGGAAAUUUCCACGACACCUCACACACAGCCUCUCCUCCUACUUGAAAGAAAGUAGAGGAGGAGCUGAAGCUUGAGGUGACAUACAUUGGGGAGGGAACACCAGAGAGACUGAAAGCCCUCCUAGGGAAAGGUGGGCACUCAUUUACUCCCCCUCAGGGUUUUAACCCCAGUUUGGCCUUGCCAGCGCUGCGCUUCCUGCUUCUGGACUGGAUUUGGAGGGACCAGAAGCUUCGCAUGAUGGUGGACAUCCCUGAUGUCCAAACUGAUUUGCUGAAGCUGCUGAAUAUGGGCAUGUUGAAAGGCUGUAGAGAAGGAAAAGUCCAAUUGGGACCAUUCUGACACACAAACACACACCCAACCAUUUCGAACUGGACCUCUUCUGCUCUCACACAAACACACACACCACAGUUAUUGUAGUAAACAAAAACUGAAACAAAAAUUGGGAAAACAAACUGCAAAACAAACUAAAAUAAACUAAAAUAAAUAACAAUUAUUUAUGUUUUGUUUAAGUUUUUUAUUCUGAAGUUUGAGCAAAAAUCGAAUGUUUUUGUUGUUGUUGACAUUUAGUUUUGAUUUACAUUUGGUUGAGACUAAAGUGAUUUCAACGUGAAAUCAAUAACAAAUGUCACCAUGUCAUUGGAGUUCAGUAAAAGUUGGUGAAAAAAGAUGAAAUGCACUUACGCUAAUUCCAUUUUGCAAAUCCAAUCAGUUUUCACCUUGAUUCAACGUCAUCAUAUUGAUUUUUUGGGUUGAAAUGACGUGGAAACAAUGCUGAUUCAACCAGUUUUUGCCUAGUGGGUAGCAUGUGCAUCACUAUCACUAGCUAAUGUAGCACUAGCUAACAGGGAAGAAAUCAGAGGGCGAGCGAGGAGCGUGACUGGGGCAAGCUAGAACGUCUUGUGAAGUUGCUGGAGCCAUUCGCAAUCCACACAACCAACUUGCUGAUCAGUGACUGGGCCAAGCUAGAGCAACUUCAAACUGUCUGAUUUGGUGCCGUGUCUUCUCAACCUUGAGGCACAUUUGCAGUCAUCUACUGUGUCAAAACAGUUGGCACGGGUCCUCCUGAAGUCACUGUUUGAGCUCUUCGCAUGCAUACUGAAUCCUCUGGCAGGCAACUUCCAUCCAUCCCCUGCAUUAGCUUGCCUGAUAGACCCAUGUAUAUCUCUGGCACUUCGCUCUACACAGAUGGAGCCACUGAUGAGGGAAGCUGAGUCAUUUGUACUUCAACAAAUCAGAGAGUACAGCUGUGGAGCAGCAGGACCCCAAGGAAAAGGGAAAGGGGGAUACCUAGUCAGUCAACUAAAUGUAUUCAACUGAAAUGUGUCUUCUGCAUUUAACCCAACCCCUCUGAAUCAGAGAUGUGCGUGGGGCUGCCUUACUUGACAUCCAUGUCAUCAAAGAUGCCAGCACGACGAAUCCAGUAAACAUCUCGACCACAGUUCUUCAGAAAUAUAGCCUUGCAUCAAAGAUUGUGUCUGAGAUCACUGUCCAGCUGGAGGGUCAAUCUGGCAGGGCAUUAAGUGCCUGGUGUCAGCUGCGGAAAUACCUGAAGGAGA